UUAUGGAAAAAUUGCCGAUUUUAUGCGCGUGAUACGCGGGUAACGCUUUUGGUGUGGCCGUACCUUUAGAGAUGGGAAUGCUGAAUUUGAAAAGAAUGAAAGACCUCUUCAGUUGUCAAGGGACCAGAAGCACAAUAUUUUAGACAAACUGGCAUCCACCAUAUAUGGUUUUAAGGCAUACCCCAGUGAUAAAGAGGUAGCAAUGGUGGCUGAAGCUCUUGUAAGGAAACACCCCUGUUUAAAAGAAGCAGGAUCUGACAAUGGAUGGAAUGGCUGGAAGAACAGCAUCAAGUUUAAAAUGGGUAAUUACAGGACCAAGAUGAGAAGAGCCGGAUGUCAGGAGGUCGCUGUAAAUGCUGGGAAAAGGAGCCGAAAAAACCCUGAGAAUGAACCUUCACACUCCAAUAUCAAAAGACCUAAGCGUGCAGAGGUCAACUUCCUGCCUAACUUUCCUCAAGGAGAGAAUCCCUCAAGUCUUGACCUUUUGAGGCAGGCUAUUGUCGAGGAAGUAAAGAAGACUGAGAGAAACCUACCCCUUAUUAGUAAAAUGAUGCAGAACACGUUUGCUUUGCGACGCCAGACCAUUGUGAUGACGAGUCCUGCGGUGAAAGAGCUAAUGGACCUCUGGCCUGCUCUUCAUAUGCAGUCUGAGGUGUAUGCAGAGUUCCAACGGAUAACUAACCAGAACCUACCUAACACUUUCUACGCGGAGCUUGAUCGUCACACUCCUCGUUUGAUGGCCUUAUUUAGGCAGAAAGCCUCCAAAACUGGAAAAGGCAGAUGCUUUGGCAGACAUUUUCAAAGUCCAUGAUACACAGGAAUUACAUGAUGUCCACACAAGGCGUACCACUGUUCUCCAUGCCCUUCCUGUGUAUCUACGUGAGGAAGUCUCUGGAUUUUUCAGAACAUGUGUGGAUGAUAUGGAUGAGCCAGACCUGCGGGAUGCAUCAGUGGUCCUCCUUACAACUGUCAGCGAUGAUGCAACAAGCCCAGUUCACUACCACCCAGUGAGAGUCUCUGUCGUCCUAGAGGGUGAUGUGGUUGUCAGCCUCCCCAGGCUUGCAGAUGCCUUCCUGGUAAUAUUCGGCCUCAUCUAUGCACUACAUCUCAGUUAUCCCGAGGGACUGACAAACACCUUUGAGUUCACACAGAAAAUCUUACUUGGUCUUGAUGACUCUAAACUGUCACCCAAGCUGCAGACUCUUAAAAAUGACCUGAUGUUGUAUGUGUAACUCAAGAUCCAAUAAGGAGUGGUGGAUUCUGAUGGCUCACUCUGUUAGAGCACAGUCCACAAUGAGAAUAUGUCAGGUCCAUGUUGACUACUGUUCAACUGUAGAUGUUAAAGUUGCUGUUCUACUCAACUUGUUUUAGCCAAAUGGCACAAAGUACACACUGUCUUCGUACUGGUUAAUGUACAUUUUAUUGUUUAACUGAAAUGCAGGGUUGAAUUAAGUGUUUAUACACUAUGGCAUUUUGUUUUUAAAAUGUGUACUAUAUAGUUCUGGGAAAUAAUUCUUUAUCAGAAAAUAAAGUUCUUCAUUGAUACAUUUUCAUAAAUAAACAACUCAGAGUUUCAGGCUGGUUUACUUCAGUAAAGUAGCCACCUUUCUAGUUGGAAACGGUGUUAUAGUGACUUUAUUUUCUUCUGAGGAUGGGAUGUUUAUUCUGUUAUGGAAAUGGAUCAAAUAACAAGUUUUUAUUGUCUUAUUAAUAUUUUUUAUUCUGAUUUGAGUUUGAAUUACUUUUCUAAAGCUAUACAGUGCACCCUGAAGUUGCUAGAUUUGAACCAGAUAGCCAAAGAAGGCUACACACUGCCUAUGUAAAUGUACAGUUUUGAAAUUUUAGCAGUUCUAGUUGUGAAGAAUUUAUAAGCAAUUUGUUUAUACAUUGCUGCACUGCAAGUUUACGAGCAGAUGUCCACAAGUGUGCCUUUGUAAUUGUUUCUUUAAUUUUCAUUUUUGCUAUUACUGUCUUUCAAAUAUUGUUUGUUUUAUUUUGUGCUAAAAGGCACAGGUGUGGGCAAAUAAUCUUUCUAAACUCAAAUUUUUGGUCACCACCCAAGACUUGCUGAUGCCCCCCUGCUAAUGUUGUAUUAACAGUUUAUAAGCUAUUUGCGACAAAUAUUUUUCUUAAUGUAAUUUUAGCUUUUCUGAGUUUGAAUAUUUUCUAUUCCAUGGUUCACCUUAAAGUAUAAACAAAAAGGCCAGAAGUAGACUUGAUAAUUUAUAUUUUCUAUUUAUGCAUUUAUUUAUUUAUGUUUGUUUAGAGACUGGGCAAGAAAAGUUUAUGCUAAACAUCUGAAUAGAAAAAAAAAAACUUAAUUUGAUGUUUGUUUGACUUUUAAGUCAAGUGUACUUAUUAUGUUUAAGGCAAUCAGUUGCCACAAAUAUUUUACGUUUGGAGGUAAAUGAUUUUGAUUUUUGCAAGUCUAUGUUUUUGAGUUAUGAGUAAUCAAAAGAUUGAUUGAAAAAACGAAUAAAUGUUAAGUUAAUGAAACUUAAAAAUCCUGAGUUUUCGUGCUUGAAAUUAUUAAAUUCACUUCAGUUAUUGCAAUAAGAAUAAAUACAAAUUCUGAGUAGCAGAACCUGAAAAUAUUUGAGUUGGCUUAAUAAAAAUUCUGAGUAGCAGAACCUGAAAAUAUUUGAGUUGGCUUAAUAAAAAUUCUGAGUAGCAGAACCUUAAAAUAUUUGAGUUGGCUUAAUCAGUAAAUUUAAUUUCAUUAUAAUUUAAAAUUACAUUUACCAUAAACUCCAAAUAUAUAAGCUCUGAUAUACUCAAAUGUUUGAGUUUAUGAACUCAAAAUAAUUGUGGCAACUGAUUACCUAACUUUUUUUGAGUACUGGUAACUUAUUCGGGUU